GUCCUGGCUGUAAACGAUGGGCACUAGGUGUGGGAGGUAUCGACCCCUUCCGUGCCGCAGCUAACGCAUUAAGUGCCCCGCCUGGGGAGUACGGCCGCAAGGUUGAAACUCAAAGGAAUUGACGGGGGCCCCGCACAAGCGGUGGAGCAUGUGGUUUAAUUCGACGCAACGCGAAGAACCUUACCGGGGCUUGAACUGCAGGGGACAGCCGUGGAAACACGGUCUUCUCGAAAGGGAUCCCUGUAGAGGUGCUGCAUGGCUGUCGU
rnacentral:rRNA from 1 species